GGUAUAUACGUGGAACCAUCCCCUUCGACAUACUGAACAUAGGUUGAGUGAGAGACUGACUCGGACCCCACCGCCUCACCGUCACCAGACACUAGAACAAAGAAGACAUAGCUGAGUUGUAGAUUAUUUGGACUAGAAGGAUCAGAACUUGUCACAACAGUAAUAAGUUGCUGGCCUCUGGCUGACUGAGUUUGUGCUCCACUGCCACCACCACUGGAACUGGAAGUAGUCACGACAACCACGCUUGGCUUAGAUUCCACCCCUACUGGUGUGGAGCUACCCCCACUGUUAUUAGCUCCGGUGGAUGCUGCGAGGGCAUACUGGGCUCCAGUCGUAGUCAUGGCAAUCACUCCUUCACCUCUCUCUGCACCCACUGAGUCACCACCACCGCUGCUACCUCCCCGCUUCUGGAGAGACGAGUCUAUAACAGAGAUACAUACAUACACCAUCUCACUUAAUAUCAAUAACAUCCACCAUCAGACCCAGCGGUGUGGCGUAUUCAAUAAUCCACAGAUCAAAGGGAAGCCCCGGCGAAGUCGCGAUACGAAUAAUACACGUCACUGCCAUUAUUACGCGCGUGUGUCAUGGUGUAUUGGCAGCGUGUACCUGUUGGGGUGGCAGGUACCAAACACAAUGUAUCAAGGGGAAGAAAUGAGCUAGGAGGGUAAGAGGGGUGAGGAGGUAUAAGCACCCCCAAACGCGCGCUCUACACGCGUGACCGGACUCGCUUUAAGCUAGGAUUCGCUUUAAGAGGGUUGAACAUAUCAAUGAAAGUAGUUCGCAUCGCGAAAGCAAUUAGAAAGCAUUAUCCUGAGCACAGGAUCCUGACUCUUUUUACUCGGAAUGAAGCGGAAACUAAUAAGCGAUAUACACUUCCGCAUAAGCAGGUUUUGCGAGAAAAAAAUAGCUUGUAUGAUUCUCUCCCUUUGUUAUGCUAUAUUCUUUAUAAAAAAAAUACUAUAUUCUUUAAAAAUUGUAUAAUAAAAUAAAUAUAUAUAUAAUGUAUUGUACUAUGUGCCUUUGAGCUAUAAUACAAAUAAUAUCAUAAAAUAUGCAGGAAUAUCUGUUAUAUUUUGAUAAGAAAAUCAUAACGUAAGUUGAUAUUACUGAGCAGGAGGAUUGUGUAACAAGAUCUGAUACUUUUUGUUUUGAUAUUUUAUCUGGUUAGUGUAGAACCUAGAAGGGGAAAAAAGAGA